rnacentral:lncRNA from 1 species
CCAUAGGUACCACUGUGCCCUUAUCCCAUAGGUACCCACUGUGCCCUUAUCCCAUAGGUACCAAUGUGCCCUUAUCCCAUAGGUACCACUGUGCCCUUAUCCCAUAGGUACCCACUGUGCCCUUAUCCCAUAGGUACCAAUGUGCCCUUAUCCCAUAGGUACCAAUGUGCCCUUAUCCCAUAUGUACCACACUGUGCCCUUAUCCCAUAGGACCCCAUACCAUCCCCUUAUCCCACAGGGCCCCACACUGUGCCCUUAUCCCAUAGGUCCCCACACUGUCCCCUAUAUCCCAUAGGUCCCCACACCGAACCCUUAUCCCA